AGUGAACGCUGGCGGUAGGCCUAACGCAUGCAAGUCGAACGGCAGCACAGUAAGAGCUUGCUCUUACGGGUGGCGAGUGGCGGACGGGUGAGGAAUACAUCGGAAUCUACUUUUUCGUGGGGGAUAACGUAGGGAAACUUACGCUAAUACCGCAUACGACCUACGGGUGAAAGCAGGGGAUCUUCGGACCUUGCGCGAUUGAAUGAGCCGAUGUCGGAUUAGCUAGUUGGCGGGGUAAAGGCCCACCAAGGCGACGAUCCGUAGCUGGUCUGAGAGGAUGAUCAGCCACACUGGAACUGAGACACGGUCCAGACUCCUACGGGAGGCAGCAGUGGGGAAUAUUGGACAAUGGGCGCAAGCCUGAUCCAGCCAUACCGCGUGGGUGAAGAAGGCCUUCGGGUUGUAAAGCCCUUUUGUUGGGAAAGAAAAGUAGCAGGUUAAUACCCCGCUGUUCUGACGGUACCCAAAGAAUAAGCACCGGCUAACUUCGUG
rnacentral:rRNA from 1 species